rnacentral:rRNA from 1 species
AGCGUACACGGUGGAUGCCCUGGCAGUCAGAGGCGAUGAAGGGCGUGCUAAUCUGCGAUAAGCGCCGGUAAGGUGAUAUGAACCGUUAUAACCGGCGAUACCCGAAUGGGGAAACCCAGUGUGAUUCGUCACACUAUCAUUAACUGAAUCCAUAGGUUAAUGAGGCGAACCGGGGGAACUGAAACAUCUAAGUACCCCGAGGAAAAGAAAUCAACCGAGAUUCCCCCAGUAGCGGCGAGCGAACGGGGAGGAGCCCAGAGCCUGAAUCAGCAUGUGUGUUAGUGGAAGCGUCUGGAAAGGCGCGCGAUACAGGGUGACAGCCCCGUACACAAAAGCGCAUGUGCUGUGAGCUCGAUGAGUAGGGCGGGACACGUGGUAUCCUGUCUGAAUAUGGGGGGACCAUCCUCCAAGGCUAAAUACUCCUGACUGACCGAUAGUGAACCAGUACCGUGAGGGAAAGGCGAAAAGAACCCCGGCGAGGGGAGUGAAAAAGAACCUGAAACCGUGUACGUACAAGCAGUGGNNNNNGCUUUGGGGUGGGGUGACUGCGUACCUUUUGUAUAAUGGGUCAGCGACUUAUAUUCUGUAGCAAGGUUAACCGAAUAGGGGAGCCGGAGGGAAACCGAGUCUUAACCGGGCGUUAAGUUGCAGGGUAUAGACCCGAAACCCGGUGAUCUAGCCAUGGGCAGGUUGAAGGUUGGGUAACACUAACUGGAGGACCGAACCGACUAAUGUUGAAAAAUUAGCGGAUGACCUGUGGCUGGGGGUGAAAGGCCAAUCAAACCGGGAGAUAGCUGGUUCUCCCCGAAAGCUAUUUAGGUAGCGCCUCGUGAAUUCAUCUCCGGGGGUAGAGCACUGUUUCGGCUAGGGGGCCAUCCCGGCUUACCAACCCGAUGCAAACUGCGAAUACCGGAGAAUGUUAUCACGGGAGACACACGGCGGGUGCUAACGUCCGUCGUGAAGAGGGAAACAACCCAGACCGCCAGCUAAGGUCCCAAAGUCAUGGUUAAGUGGGAAACGAUGUGGGAAGGCCCAGACAGCCAGGAUGUUGGCUUAGAAGCAGCCAUCAUUUAAAGAAAGCGUAAUAGCUCACUGGUCGAGUCGGCCUGCGCGGAAGAUGUAACGGGGCUAAACCAUGCACCGAAGCUGCGGCAGCGACGCUUAUGCGUUGUUGGGUAGGGGAGCGUUCUGUAAGCCUGUGAAGGUGGCCUGUGAGGGUUGCUGGAGGUAUCAGAAGUGCGAAUGCUGACAUAAGUAACGAUAAAGCGGGUGAAAAGCCCGCUCGCCGGAAGACCAAGGGUUCCUGUCCAACGUUAAUCGGGGCAGGGUGAGUCGACCCCUAAGGCGAGGCCGAAAGGCGUAGUCGAUGGGAAACGGGUUAAUAUUCCCGUACUUGGUGUUACUGCGAAGGGGGGACGGAGAAGGCUAUGUUGGCCGGGCGACGGUUGUCCCGGUUUAAGCGUGUAGGUGUGUGUUCCAGGUAAAUCCGGUUCACUUUAACACUGAGGCGUGACGACGAGGCACUACGGUGCUGAAGCAACAAAUGCCCUGCUUCCAGGAAAAGCCUCUAAGCAUCAGGUAACAUCAAAUCGUACCCCAAACCGACACAGGUGGUCAGGUAGAGAAUACCAAGGCGCUUGAGAGAACUCGGGUGAAGGAACUAGGCAAAAUGGUGCCGUAACUUCGGGAGAAGGCACGCUGACACGUAGGUGAAGUGAUUUACUCAUGGAGCUGAAGUCAGUCGAAGAUACCAGCUGGCUGCAACUGUUUAUUAAAAACACAGCACUGUGCAAACACGAAAGUGGACGUAUACGGUGUGACGCCUGCCCGGUGCCGGAAGGUUAAUUGAUGGGGUCAGCGCAAGCGAAGCUCCUGAUCGAAGCCCCGGUAAACGGCGGCCGUAACUAUAACGGUCCUAAGGUAGCGAAAUUCCUUGUCGGGUAAGUUCCGACCUGCACGAAUGGCGUAAUGAUGGCCAGGCUGUCUCCACCCGAGACUCAGUGAAAUUGAACUCGCUGUGAAGAUGCAGUGUACCCGCGGCAAGACGGAAAGACCCCGUGAACCUUUACUAUAGCUUGACACUGAACAUUGAGCCUUGAUGUGUAGGAUAGGUGGGAGGCUUUGAAGCGUGGACGCCAGUCUGCGUGGAGCCGACCUUGAAAUACCACCCUUUAAUGUUUGAUGUUCUAACGUGGACCCGU